CAGGAUGCUAUGGCAAUGUUGAGCCUUCAGAUCAUGUUUCAGCUCAGCAAAUAUGAGAGACCAUCAGUGAAAACUACAUAGCCAAGUCCUUCUGGAAUUCCUGACCUAUAAAAUUAUCAUUCGGUCAUGAACACACUGAUUUCUAAAGGCUG